rnacentral:lncRNA from 1 species
CGCUUCCGGUCUUGGCCUGCAUGCGGCAGAGCCGGAGGCCCAGCAGGACUGGGUGUCCUCUGGAGCCUGGCCCGUGCCCCACCCACCUUGGGUCUGGCUCCCUCCCUUGCUGGAGCCUCCUCGCAGGCGUUGGUGCUGGUCACGGCUGAGGGAAGGAGCACAGGAUGGAUUCUCUCUGGGUGGCCCCGCCACUCCAGGCCACACUGCAGGCCCUGGCCCUCUGGGGUCCUUAUGGUCCUUACCGGCCCCUCCAGCCUGGCUCCUGCUCAGGGAGACAGAAGCCCCAGGCCAAGCAGAGCGUGGAUCAGAUGCCGACAGAUGGAAUGAGGGUUGUCUCCGGCCUGCACAAGCCUUGGAUCCUGCAUCAGGAUCCAGCCAAGGAUCAUAUGUCCCAUUCAGCUGCCACGUUUCCUGGUCUCCUUCACCUUCACAGUGCUGGCCCUUUUCAGCAAUCCCAGGCACCUGCUCUGGCUGUUUGCUCUUUAACAGAUCCAGUUAGACGCCGGUCAUCCCUUCCUGGUACACAGAUGAUUCAUUCGACGAUCACUCCCCAAUCUGUAACUCUAGCUCCAAUGAUGAUCUCGUCACCACUUCUGAAGUCCUCCCAGCACCCUGCC